rnacentral:rRNA from 1 species
GAUGAACGCUGGCGGCGUGCCUAAUACAUGCAAGUCGAGCGAACAGACGAGGAGCUUGCUCCUCUGACGUUAGCGGCGGACGGGUGAGUAACACGUGGAUAACCUACCUAUAAGACUGGGAUAACUUCGGGAAACCGGAGCUAAUACCGGAUAAUAUAUUGAACCGCAAGGUUCAAUAGUGAAAGACGGUUUUGCUGUCACUUAUAGAUGGAUCCGCGCCGCAUUAGCGAGUUGGUAAGGUAACGGCUUACCAAGGGAACGAUGCGUAGCCGACCUGAGAGGGGGAUCGGCCACACGGGAACUGAGACACGGUCCAGACUCCUACGGGAGGAAGCAGUAGGGAAUCUUCCGCAAUGGGCGAAAGCCUGACGGAGCAACGCCGCGUGAGUGAUGAAGGUCUUCGGAUCGUAAAACUCUGUUAUUAGGGAAGAACAAAUGUGUAAGUAACUAUGCACGUCUUGACGGUACCUAAUCAGAAAGCCACGGCUAACUACGUG